GUCUUUUUGAAUUAAAUUUAAAGUCUAACCUGCCCACUGAAAAUUUUAAAUGGCCGCAGUAUUCUAACUGUGCAAAGGUAGCAUAAUCAUUAGUCUUUUAAUUGAAGGCUGGAAUGAAUGGUUGGACGAAAUAUUAACUGUUUCAUUUAAAUUUUUUAUAGAAUUUUAUUUUUUAGUCAAAAAGCUAAAAUAAAUUUAAAAGACGAGAAGACCCUAUAAAUCUUUAUAUUUUGUUUAUUUUAAUUAUAAAGAUUAUUUUUAUUAUAAUAAAUUAAAAUAUUUUAUUGGGGUGAUAUUAAAAUUUAAAAAACUUUUAAUUUUUAAAACCAUUAAUUUAUGAGUAAUUGAUCCAUUAAUAAUGAUUAAAAAUUUAAGUUACUUUAGGGAUAACAGCGUAAUUUUUUUGGAGAGUUCAUAUCGAUAAAAAAGAUUGCGACCUCGAUGUUGGAUUAAGAUAUAAUUUUGGGUGUAGCCGUUCAAAUUUUAAGUCUGUUCGACUUUUAAAUUCUU
rnacentral:rRNA from 2 species